CAGCACCUCAAGUGGUCAGGAUGAUUAUUGGGCCUAAAGCAUCCGUAGCCUGCUUUGUUAGUUUUCGGUUAAAUCCAUACGCUCAACGUAUGGGCUGCCGGGAAUACUGCAAAGCUAGGGAGUGGGAGAGGUAGACGGUACUCGGUAGGAAGGGGUAAAAUCCUUUGAUCUAUUGAUGACCACCUGUGGCGAAGGCGGUCUACCAGAACACGUCCGACGGUGAGGGAUGAAAGCUGGGGGAGCAAACCGGAUUAGAUACCCCAGUAGUCC
rnacentral:rRNA from 1 species